rnacentral:lncRNA from 1 species
GCACUCCACUUCAGAUGCCAGUGUUCACUCAGAUACCUCCUGAGAACGAAAAUGAGCUACUCAGCUUCCUUUGAAAGGCAGAUUCUUUGUUGAUGGUUCUUCUGACUGUAGAAUAUCUGAACUCUGUCUUUAAGAAACUAUUCUGCAUGAUGGAAGUGGAUAUUAACAUCAAACUAUAACAGGCAUAGCUGGAGACAAGACUCGAUGUGUUAGAUCUUGUCUUGAGCUCAAUAGCCUGUCAGUGAUGUGCAACUGGUGUUGAGCAGCUCCAUGCCGCACGGGAGACUCAGGGGAAGCAGGA